rnacentral:piRNA from 1 species
UCUUUAGACAGAAGUUUUAAGGAAU